GGAUCUUGAACUUUUAGCUCCUCUUCAACUUGCCCCAGUUGAGAGUGUUUAAAUAUCAACCUAUUUCCAGGGACAUGGAAAAUAUUAAGGAAUGCAUUCUCAGACUUGUCCUGGUGUGGGCUUCAUGGCAAUGGAUUGAGAUCUGAGGGUCCUGGCUUCGUCUUGAAGGCAGACGUCUCACACAUCUACAAUUCACAGAGCUUAGACUAGCCUACAUACGUAACAAUGUUAAACUGAGUGCAUGUCUUCAUAUAUGAAGAAGGAAUCCACAAAACUAUGUGCUGCGAUAUGAAGAGAAAUGCCAUUGUUCUUACUGGAUGAUUUCCUAUCAGAGCCCAUCAGGGGGUCCAGGCAUUUACAGUGAAGCCCAGUAAUUGUACUAUCUUGCUUGGUGGGUCCUGCCCCUCAACCUUCUUCUGCUCUACUCUCCAGCUCAAGGAAUGGCAUCAUUGUUUCCUAACUGACCAGGUUCCAUUUUGUGAGCAAGCUGGCUCUCCAGCCACAAUCUUCCUGCCUCACAACUCCAGGUUCGGAGUAGCUGGCAGAGUACUGAAACCGACUCCGAGUAGACCAAGCUUCAUCCGUGCGUUCACCUCUGAAACAAAUACAUGACUGUUGAGUGGGUGCUCCCCUCACUGAAUGCUCGGUCAGAUGCUCACUGUUGGAUUCCAGCAAAGAGAAUCACUAAGAUCACGUAAAGUGUAGUGUCUCCAAAGAAACUAGGGAAUGUUGCUGGAAGAAGAGGCAGAAAAUGCUGAGAAAAAUGUGCUUAUGGUAGUGUCUGUUUAGGCAUUUAUGGGAUGCCAACUUUACUCAAGAUGUUUUUGGAACUCUUGUCUUUGUAUGGAAAGCAUAUGAAUCACUCCACCAAAAAUAGUAUUAUUAUUCUAUAUUCCUAGUACAUCUUCUACUGAGCAAGGAUUUAUGAAAUUUAAUUAGCCAUCUCACUUGUUAGCCCCACUGUGACUGACUUUUAACUAGUUCCCAAACAGAAAUAAUCUAUGCAGGAAGAGUUUGCUCAUGUUGAGAGUAUUCACAAGAGCAUAGCUGAUAUUCUCAUGUCAAUUCCAGAAGCUUAAGUCUGAAGAUAUUCUGGGAAAAUAUCAGCACCUUUGGCAAAAAUGUGUAAUAUUUCAUGUUGACUGCCCUGAAAGAGUCUACCCUAAUUUGGAGACAGACAGACAGAUAGAUAGAUAGCCUUGUCUAUUUGGGUACAAAAUAUCCCUCUAGAGCAGUAUGGUUACAAGUAUAGGCUUUGGAGCUUGAUUACCUGGGCUUGAAUCCCAGGUUAGCUACUGUGUGAUACUCUCUACCUCAAAAUUUUCAUGUAAAGUAAUAAAAAUAAUAAUUAUAAUA
rnacentral:lncRNA from 1 species